GCGAAUCGCCUCGUAGCGAAGCCAUAAAAAAAGAAAAGAAGAAGAAGAAAAUUUUAUUUUUUAUUUUUUUUCUUGUCAGUAAAUAUAAAUGCAAACCAAUAAUAAUAGUAAUUAAUUUAUUUAUUAUUAAUAAUAAUAAAUAAAAUCAAAUGGAAGUUAAACAAGAAAUUGACGAGGAAACGUGUAAAGUGGAAAUAGUUGAUAAUGAUUUGGAUGAUGCUCUUUUGGAUGGCUUUAAAUGUGAAAUUCAGGAGGAAUCCGAUACAGAUACACAAAAUACCCAGGACACCUAUAAUUAUUUUAACUUAAAUAAAUGUGCCAUAAAAACUGAAAUAGAACAAUAUGGACAUGAACUUAAGCCAUUUGAAGAAAACCAAGAAACUGAAAAAGAUCGUCUGCAAGAGAACAAGAUGAAAAUUAUCGAGACACUAACUGAACAUUCAUUUCGCGAAGAAAAUUCUAUGAAUCCACAUGCAGAAGGAAAAACAUUAAAUAAAAGUAUGAAAGUAGUGACUGAAAAAAAACCUUACAAGUGUGAAAUUUGUUUUAAGCAAUUUAAUCAAGCAUAUAGCUUGAAAAGACAUUUGAGGGUGCAUACUGGACAAAAACCUCACAAGUGUGAAAUUUGUUUUAAGCAAUUUAGUGAAGCAGGUAAUUUAAAGGUACAUUUGAGACAGCACACUGGAGAAAAACCUCACGAGUGUGAAAUUUGUUUUAAGCAGUUCAGACAAGCAAAUAAUUUGAGCACACAUUUGAAAGUGCACACUGGGGAAAAACCUCACAAGUGUGAAAUUUGUUUUAAGCAAUUUAAUAUAGCAAAUAAUUUGAAAAGACAUUUGAAAGUGCACACUGGGGAAAAACCUCACAAGUGUGAAAUUUGUUUUAAGCAAUUUAAUAGAGCAAAUAAUUGGAAAACGCAUUUGAAAGUGCACACUGGGGAAAAACCUCACAAGUGUGAAAUUUGUUUUAAUCAAUUUAAUAUAGCAAAUAAUUUGAAAAGACAUUUGAAAGUGCACACUGGGGAAAAACCUCACAAGUGUGAAAUUUGUUUUAAGCAAUUUAAUAUAGCAAAUAAUUUGAAAAGACAUUUGAAAGUGCACACUGGGGAAAAACCUCACAAGUGUGAAAUUUGUUUUAAGCAAUUUAGUCAAGCAAGUGAUUUGAAAGUACAUUUGAGGGUGCACACUGGAGAAAAACCUCACAAGUGUGAAAUUUGUUUUAAGCAGUUCAGACAAGCAAGUAAUUUGAGCACACAUUUGAAAGUGCACACUGGGGAAAAACCUCACAAGUGUGAAAUUUGUUUUAAGCAGUUCAGACAAGCAAGUAAUUUGAGCACACAUUUGAAAGUGCACACUGGGGAAAAACCUCACAAGUGUGAAAUAUGUUUUAAGCAAUUUAGUCAAGCAAGUGAUUUGAAAAGACAUUUGAAAGUGCACACUGGGGAAAAACCUCACAAGCGUGAAAUUUGUUUUAACCAGUUUUCUCAGGCUGAUUCUUUGAAAACACAUUUGAGAGUGCACACUGGAGAAAAACCUCACAAGUGUGAACUUUGUUUUAAGCAAUUUAGUAAAGCAUGUACUUUAAAAGUACAUUUAAGAGUGCACACUGGAGAAAAACCUCACAAGUGUGAAAUUUGUUUUAAGCAAUUUAAUAUAGCAAAUAAUUUGAAAAGACAUUUAAAAGUGCACACUGGGAAAAAACCUCACAAGUGUGAAAUUUGUUUUAAGCAAUUUAUUCAAGCAGGUGAUUUGAAAGUACAUUUGAGGGUGCACACUGGAGAAAAACCUCACAAGUGUGAAAUUUGUUUUAAGCAGUUUAGUGGAACAGGUAAUUUGAAAAAACAUUUGAGAGUGCACACUGGAGAAAAACCUCACAAGUGUGAAAUUUGUUUUAAGCAGUUCAGACAAGCAAGUAAUUUGAGCACACAUUUGAAAGUGCACACUGGGGAAAAACCUCACAAGUGUGAAAUUUGUUUUAAACAAUUUAGUAAAGCAUGUACUUUAAAAGUACAUUUAAGAGUGCACACUGGAGAAAAACCUCACAAGUGUGAAAUUUGUUUUAAGCAAUUUGUUCAAGUAAGUCAUUUGAAAACACAUUUGAGAGUACACACUGGAGAAAAACCGUAUCAGUGUAAAAUUUGUUUAAAACGGUUUGCUCAAAAAUCUCACUUAACUGGUCACAUGAAAGUUCACACUAGCGAAAGACCCUACUAAUCUGAAAUUUGCUUUAAGAAAUUUAGUAGCAGGUAUUAUUUGAAAACUCGUACUAGAUUACAUAGUGGAGAAAAUUAAGAGUAUGAAACUGGUUUUAAGCAGUAUAUUAAUUAGUGAUGUUGAAAAAAUAACUAUUCGUUACAAAGUACUCGUUACUUACGAAUACCGAAAGUAACGAUUACUAUACAGAGAGGCAAAUCGUUACUUUUAAUACUCUAAUUACUUCGUACCAAUCGUAUCAGAGUGAGUAACGACUAUUGUAUCUACUUUGAUUACUCUGAUUACUUCGUUACUUCAUACCAAUCGUAUUAGAGCGAGUAACGACUAUUUUAUCUACUUUGAUUACUUCGUACCAAUCGUAUCAGAGCGAGUAACGACUAUUGUAUCUACUUUGAUUACUCUGAUUAAUUCGUACUUCGUGAAGGUCGUUAUUAUAUCGGAAUACCUAUACAAAAUACCUACCUACUGAGAAAUACUAUUAUCGAUAUGUACUCAAAUACAAAAGUAAUCAUAGUAAUCAAAUCAUUUUUAUCCCUUAAACAGAUCGGCGAAGGUCGUUGUUAUAUCGGAAUACCUAUACAAAAUACCUACAUACUGAGAAAUAUGAUUCUCGAUAUGAUUACCGGUACUCAAAUACAAAAGUAAUCAAAGUAACGAAUACUGUAAAUGAUUACUUUAUACAAAAGUAACGAUUUGUAACAAAUACUCGAAAGUAACUAUAAUUAACAUCAUUAAUAUUACUGCCAGUAGUUUGAAUAAACAUUUGAAAACACGUUGAAGGAAAACCUCAAGUGUGAAAUUUGUUUAAAGCAGUUUAAUAGAUCAGGUGAUUUAAAAAUACAUUUGAGAGUGUACACUGGAGAAACACAUUAGGUACCUUUACACUUACAUUCUUUCGCGGGCGUUUUGAACGGCCCAUUCCAUUUGCGCGAGAAAGCCUGUCAGUGGGUGCGUUCGGAUGACCAUAGCGGCUGGCUGCCAGCAGAAAUCGGCUGAGUGGUUGCAUCCAGCCGUGAUAGGGAAAGCUUAGUAAAUCUCUCAGCGGCUGGCUUCCAGCGGUGACGUCUGACAGCUACUGCUGGCUCAGCUGUCCAGCCGCUGUGGUCGUCCGAACGCACCCAUUGUAAUCGUUUUUGCGCGCUACUUUGCAGUGAAAGAUAAGUGAAAGCACACGGUUGUGAAAGCACAUGUUCCAAGAGUGUCAAUCGGACCAUGAUAGUGUGACGUCAAAACGUCAAAAUUUAUCCAAACACGUUGUGUCUAGUGUAUACGCUACCGUGUACGCAAAUAAAAAAGUUAGGUAGAAUUGAACGUCAUAACAAAUAUUUUUCUAUCAAACAAACACUAAACAUAUCAAAAUAGCGUGUAUCAAAAUAUACAGUCACUGCCCACGCUAAAUAGUCACUAGUUUGAUGAAGUUUAACUUUUUUAUUUGCGUACAUUUUAGCGUGUACGUAGACACAACGUGUUUGGAAAACUUUUUUUGACGUCACGACUAUCACGGUCUAUUUAAACUUCCACUCUAAACGUUUGGUCUAAUCAUGGGGAAUUCACGGUACUGGUCAAACGGCUUCAAAAGUGAAUUCUUGGAAAUGUAUAUUUCCUUGUUUAUGGAAAGUCCAAUCUAAAGAAUAUUGCAAUAAAGAUCUAAAAGCAUUAGCAUUAUUUAUUUAUUUAUUAAGCGCAACAGGCCUUGUAGGCCUAGGGCUAAAAUGUUUACAUUUCUGAAAAGCAUUAGCAUACGAAGAGCUAAUUAAACUUUGCAAAAACGUUUAUCCAGAGGCCAAAAGAUCCAAAGUUUUCGUGGGUCAUUCAGAAAAGAUGUGCGCUGUAGCACACAAAGCAAAGUAAUUGUUUUUCUUUUUUAUUUUGAACAUUGUGGGGAAUCUCACUAAAACUGCUAAACCUUCUACCACGCCACUCGAAUCACGAAGGAUAAGUUGACAGUUUUACAUUUAUACUUUCGUUUUUAUCUCUCGCGUUUAAAACGGCGUGCUAUCCUCUAAGACUGGAGCACAGUAUAUAGAGGUUCCAUAGUCCCUCUUUAUACUGUGACUGGAGCGUCCUAGCUAUUAUCGACACACGCUUCGAACGGCGCAAUCUUUCUGCUGCUUAAUUACGCCGAUUGGAAUGAGCCAUUCAAUCGCACGGGAAAGAAUGUAAGUAUAAAGGUACCUACCUUUACACGUACAUUCUUUUGUCAAAUUGACAUACUACAUCCCUGUUAGCUAUCACAAACUAAAAUUUUUGUACAGCAAAUUGUUUUCGAAACGAAGCUAUUCACAAAGCUUUCAGCUUGAUAGUAAUUAUUUUUACAUCAGGUAUUUUUACUACAACUUUUGAACAAGAGAAAUCGUUUGAUUGAGUCCAAUUAAAAGAUUACCUAUAUGACAAAAAUUUACCACUGUCUAUCAUAAAACUGAUAGAAAACAUAUGUAAGAAAUAAAAUAGAAAUGAAAAUCAAUGGAAUAAUAACAGAACCCAUAGAAACAAACACAGGAAUCAGGCAAGGAGAUUCACUAAGCCCUCUACUGUUUAACAUAAUGUUGGAUGCAAUAAUAAAACAAGUGAAGAAAAAAGAGGGUACAAAAUGGGCGAUAGAGAGAUAAAAAUACACCGUUACGCUGAUGACACCGUGUUAGUAACAGAGUGCGAAGAAGAACUACAAAGAUUACUUCACGAAUUCAACAUUAACGCAAAAGAAAUGGAAAAUAUCAGCCCAAAAAACAAAAGCUUAGUAAUAGCCAAAGAAUCAGUAAGAUGCAAAUGUCUUCGCACUCUUCUACUAACACGGUGUCAUCAGCGUAACAGAGUAUUUUUAUCUCUCUAUCGCCCAUUUUGUACCAUCUUUUUUUCUCCAAUUAUUGGAGUUAGACAAUCAAAUUAUACAACAAGUAAUGACUUUCAAAUACCUGGGAAUUAAUCCGUCAGCCGACAACAAUAUCGAAGAAGAGGUAAAAGACCAAAUAAUUAAAGCCAGUAGAACAGCCGGAUGCCUAAACGACACAAUUUGGAAAAACAAACACCUAAGAUUGGAAACAGGUCCGAAUAAUAUGUCAGUUAUUAGGCCAGUAUGACUUACAUGGCCGAAACAAGACCAGAUACAAGCCAAACACGAAGACAUCUGUAGACCAACGAAAUGAAGAUCUUAAGAGGGAUUGCUGGAAAAGGACUACAGGAUAGGGUAAAGAGUGAGGAAAUCAGACGCAUAUGUGUGAUAGACAAUAUAAAUACCUAGGUAAAGAACAGAAAAGAAGAGUGGAAUGAACACAUAAGCAGGAUAUCUGAAUCAAGGAUAGUAAGAAUAGCCAGGGACAAGUCACUGUUAGGCAGAAGAAUUAUAGGACGCCCAAAUAAAAGAUGGAAUGGCAACUUAGGGGCAGAAUGAUAGGCACCAUUCAACAAAAACAGGCAGUACUGCCUAUAUAAAAAAAGAAGACGAAGAAGAACUUUUGAACGUUGGACCAGGAUAAAGUACCACGCAAUUUGUAGGACAAUGUGGGUGUUAAAUUAUGUAAAUAUUAAAACAAUCGAUUAAUCAACAGAGAAAAAAAUCAGUUGGUUAGUUAUUAUUUUUCAUGGCCUCGUUAAUUAUACAUAUUGGAAAGGGGACUCUUUGAUAAGACCUUGCAUUUUGUAGGACAAAUAUUUUUCGACUAAUUGAGAUAAUUAGUGUAGUAAAGAAAAGAGAGACGUUCUCACAAACAAUUUAUUUUACAACUGACGACCGGUUUCGCUGUCUACACUUUGCACAGCAUCUUCAGGUCCCGGUGAAAGUAAAAUUAAAUGCUACAAACAACA
rnacentral:misc_RNA from 1 species